UCUAGCAGGGCAGAAAUGUGAUGAACUGACUUGUUGGAAAGGUGGUAUCCUGUGAUGGUGCCACGUUGAAAGUCACUGAGCUCUUCAGUAAGGCCAUUCUACUGUCAAUGUUUGUCUAUGGAGAUUGCAUGGCUUUGUGAUCGAUUUUCUACACCUGUCAGCAACGGGUGUGGCUGGAAUAUAUAUCUGCACAGUAUGUUUGUGUAUGGUUCUCAUGAUUUAGGAUUGGGUGUUGAGGGACCACUUGUCACAUUGUCCAAGGUGUGUUUGUGUUAUGGUAAACAAUGCAUUUUCUGUCCAGAUAAAGAUAGUGAUACAGCUUUGAAAAAGACCCACCACUGACCAAAUGUUUUUGUUUUCCAGUCCAACAGGAGUGCAUCCCUGAGGCCAUCCGGUGCAUGGAUCUCCUGUGCCAGUGUGAUCCGAGUGCGAGAGUACAGGUGUAGGGACUACAGCAGAUCGAGAAUGUGGACGGACAAACAUAAGGCGUGACAUGCAGAACAUCUUCAGGCGUCCCCUAUGAGAAACAGUGCAUGAUGUUCAACGCCACCCUCGGCAAGGAGGUCUGCCGGAAGUUAUGGCUCUCCGAUCCUUAGAUGUACUCUCUCUCUCUCGCUGUCUCUCUAGUUAAGCAGUCCAGAGGAUUUUCUUAGGGUUAGUCCUAUCGAAAUCUAUUCUUAUUUGGAGCUCAAUGUAAUCAUUGACUUUUCAGGCACCUCCACCAUGACACAGUUACAGAAUAUUCUCACUGAGGUGACUCUUGUGGGCUCAAUGUUUUUACCAUACAAACCACAGAAACUGUUUUGUUCCAUGAAUGCAUCUGUUGUACAUGACUAAUCAAAUGACCUGUGAAGUCAGACAGGUCAGUCUCUUUCAGAUGAUCCCUCAACCACUGUUGGUCCUCCUCAGUGAUCUCACAGCUCAGAGGGUUUUAACUUUCGGCUUGAGAAACAGAAUCAGAAGUACAGUCGGCGCAAGAUUUCACUUCUUUCGGGCAAAUAGUACCCUAGACUGUCCUGAUCAUCUAGUUGAGCAUUCCAGAUAAAUCCUCCAUCCCAGCAGGAAUGUCCCUUCCACAUAGUGCUAAAUACUCAUAUGAUUUUUCAGCUCAGCAUUCUUAGGGAAACAUUUUCCACAAGUGGUGUUCUCUGUGUUGUAAGAACAUGGAGUGAGUCAAGUCGUUGUCCAGUGAGUGAGGGUUGGCUGCAUAGUGUUUAGUUAGUAGCCUAGUUGUGGUUCACUUCCACUAGAAGGUCCUUAUUAUUCCCUCCAGGUGUUUCUUCAGGCUGUUGGGGAUUGCUUAACAUUUUUGCCACACGAACAACAAAAACGGUUUUGUUCCAAUGACUGCACCUGUUGAGCCUGACUAAUCAAAUGACUGACUGACUUUACUUAAGCCCAUGGCUCCUAUGAGUAGCAUAGGCCAGUUGAUGCUAUUCUCAGUCAUUUUUUCCUGUACAUCUCUCCUCCAUGUGUUUCUAGGUCAGUGUUUCCCAACGCUGGUCCUCCAGUACCCCCAACAGUACACAUUUUUAUUGUAGCCCUGGGCAAACACACCUCAUUCAGCUCAUUGAGGGUUUGAUGAUUAGUUGACAAAUUGAAUCGGGUGUGCUUGUCCAGGGUUACAAUAAAAAUGUGUUUUUAUAUAUUAAUUCUCGUCAAUGACAACAUUCUAGAACUGAGUUAUGACUCAUCUGUGUCUGGUAUCCAGGGUAAUCUGGUUAAUGAUUAUGUAAUGUUGAUUAUGUGGCUCUUUCCUUGUAGAAUGUUGACAGUUCUGUAGAACACAUUGUAUUGCUAAGAUGCGCAAUCUUUACUUAAUAGCUACACAGGAAACACUUUAUUCCUCAUUCUGGCCCUGACCAAACCGGUAAGUUGCCCCUCAUUAUAACUGCACUCCUCCACAUGGCCAGAUUUAUAGUGGUCUUCUCCCCUUUUAAUGCUCAUGCUCAUCCUUGAAAAAUACCAUAAGGUCUGAAAUAGUUGACAUACUGUACAAACAAUUAUCUAGGCUAAGUAAAACAAAAUGUAUUGUUUAUCUACUGCUCUGCUAACUAGCUAGCUAGCUAAAGUGUAGUCAGUGGCUAGCUAAGACAGAGAGAAAGGGGACAAGAAGUUCCACACUUUAUUCAAUUAAUCUCAAUAUAGCACAUGGAUUCCACAUGGAUUGGGCACAGAAGGCCUCUGACCGGGCUGGUGAAUGGUAGCUGACAGUGUCGGCUAGAGAUGACAUGCAGGAGCUUCCUGCAGGAAGUCUUGCAUAAGGUCUUUGUUGCUAAUUAGCAUUUUGAAUUUUAGAGAGUAAAUUGAGGCAAAUAUUGAUAAAACUCACCUUGUCUGAGACAGAAUUACAUGUUUUUUAUUAUUAUUUUGAUUUAUUUAACCUUUAUUUAACUAGGCAAGUCAGUUAAGAACAAAUUCUUAUUUACAAUGACGGCCUAUCCGGUUAUCAAAACGUCACGCCAAGAUAAGCCUACACCAAACACAUACUUAAUUUGAAGUGUUUCUAAAAUCUCCUAUGCGAAUAAUGAAUGGUGGAAAAACGAUUGGAAACAUUUUCGUGUUUGACCGCUAGGUUUUAUGGGUAUUAUGACGCAUCCACUGUGGAGCUCAUUGUGGCCGACCGGUGGCUUCAAAGCCUCUCAAUGGGCAAUACAUAGCAUCAGCAUUCCAGGGUUAUAUACACAUCAUUGGGUCUAACAGUCAUCUCGCGCCGAACUGCGAAUGUGCAUCCGUCAAAUAAAAGGCACUCCUUUGAUAUAAAGUUGUUUUUGUCGAAAAUGAAAA